rnacentral:piRNA from 1 species
UAACGUAUUCUUGAAAAGAUC